UUCCCACGCUGCUGGGCCACGAGGUCGGGCACUGACCCCGAGUGGUCACCACGGGCCAGCCUCACCCAGUGCCACCAGUGCCACCAGUGCCACCAGUGCCACCACACCGGGUGUCUUCGCUCCGGGUGGCAGAGGUCGGAUCAGGAUCCUGAGGAUUCCUUUGGGAAUUUCCUCUGGCAGAGCCCUCUCCUGCCUUUGGGUACAGCUCCCACCAUCCCAGGUGGAUCCAGCCUGGCCUUGGGCACUGCCAGGGAUCCAGGGGAAGCCCCAGCAAAUGUGGGAAUUGCAGCCCAGGCAGGAAUUCCUUGCCAAGAUCCCAGCCCAAUCUCCCCUUUCCCACUGGAAGCCAUUCCCUGGCUCCUGGCCCUGCAGCCCUUGGCCCCAGUCCCUCUCCAGCUCUCCUGGAGCCCCUGCAGGGACUCUCAGCAUUCCCUGCAUUUCUCCCUUCUCCAGGGGAACAUUCCCAGCUCUCCCAGAGCUGAGGUGCUCCAGCCCUCACAGCAUUCAGCAUUCCCAGGACAACCAGGAUCCAUCUUGGUGAUGUGGGAGGACAAACACCAUCACUCCCAACAUUCCCCUUUCCUUCAUUCCCAGUUUAUCCACAAGCCACACGAUCCAGGAUAUCCCAGGGGUGGGUUGGGAUCAGUUUUCCUGGCCGUGUUCCCCCAAUUCCCAGUGAAAUUCCAACACUCCCCGAGCAGGGUGAGGGCAGGGCCACCCUCAAUUCCAUCCAAGACACAACAAAAACAUUCCCGAAUUAUCAGCACAAAUCCCAAACCCUUCCCACAGGGAACAAACACAACCCUGCCCCAGCCCCACCAGCAGGACCCUAAACCUGGAGACCUUGGAGCGUUCCAAACCCACCCUGGCCCCAAAAACCCAGAAUUAGGGAAAAGCUGCUGCUGUCACUUCCCACAAUCAGGUCAGGGACAUCGAAGAGGGAAGUGCUGCGGUUUGGGGCUCCUCACCCUCCUCCUCCUCCUCCCCCGGCUGAUAAAGGGACGUCCCUGA
rnacentral:lncRNA from 1 species